UACGAAGGGGGCUAGCGUUGCUCGGAUUGACUGGGCGUAAAGGGCGCGUAGGCGGUUCGUACAGUCAGACGUGAAAUUCCUGGGCUCAACCUGGGGGCUGCGUUUGAUACGUGCGGACUUGAGUGCGGAAGAGGGUCGUGGAAUUCCCAGUGUAGAGGUGAAAAUUCGUAGAUAUUGGGGAAGAACACCGGUGGCGAAGGCGGCGACCUGGUCCGAUACUGACGCUGAGGCGCGAAAGCGUGGGGAGCAAGCAGAUGAUGAAC
rnacentral:rRNA from 1 species